UCGAGAAUUUUUCACAAUGGGGGAAACCCUGAUGGAGCGACGCCGCGUGGGGGAUGAAUGGCUUCGGCCCGUAAACCCCUGUCAUUUGCGAGCAAACGCAGUGACCUAAAACGUCACUGCUUGAUAGUAGCGAAAGAGGAAGGGACGGCUAACUCUGUGCCAGCAGCCGCGGUAAUACAGAGGUCCCAAGCGUUGUUCGGAUUCACUGGGCGUAAAGGGUGCGUAGGCGGUAGGCCAAGUCUGGUGUGAAAGCUCCGAGCCCAACUCGGAAAUGGCAUCGGAAACUGGCCGACUAGAGGAGUGGAAGGGGGACUGGAAUUCUCGGUGUAGCAGUGAAAUGCGUAGAUAUCGAGAGGAACACCCGUGGCGAAGGCAAGUCCCUGGACACCUCCUGACGCUGAGGCACGAAAGCUAGGGGAGCAAACA
rnacentral:rRNA from 1 species